ACCCUAACCCCCUAGAUUAACCCUAGCCGCCAUUCACUUUUGCUUUCCUAAGCUAACCUACAGCAGAAAGAAACAAAAGAAAGGGAAAGAAAGAAGAAGGGGGACACGAAAGGAAGGGAAAAAGCUGAGAAGAAGAGGGAGAAAGAAAGGGGAUAGCUGAAAGGAGAGAGAGAGAGAGGCCGCGACUAAAAGGAGAGAGAGAAGUCGCCUCGCGUCUUGCUGUUGCCGCCGCCGUCGCCCUCAUCUCGGAUCGCCAUCGUCGCCGUCGCGUGGGAAGACCGGAGCUUCUGGUAGCCACCAUCGAAGCAGAGUCGCGGAGAGAAAGAGCCCGCGGGUGAGAGAGCGAGUGUCGCAUCAGCCACCCUCAUCGACGUUCAUGCAUCGCCACUGCUGCUCCUGUCCGCGACGCCAGUUUCCACUGCCGUCGCAUCUCUCUUCACUGCCGCCAACAAGAACGCGCGCGAGGAGCAGACGCGCGGAAGGAGGAAGACGGAGGGAGAAGGCGGUGCUACUCGCAUUGCUAUGCCCAAUCGCCAUCCGCGGAGCCGCCGCUGGGAGUUACCGUCGAAGAUGCCGUUGCUCUGUGCUAGCGUUCUUCCUGAGUGCAGGCUGAGUUCCAGUGUUUGCACGUCAAAAUUAAGGUUGCUGUUGAACCACCGGGGCUUCUGGCCGCUAUCGGAGCUGCUGUCGAGUCAGUUCGGGAUUGCGGCUGCUCCGUUCUGCUAUUACCGUAACCCCUUUCACCCUUGUUUUGUUUUAGUAGCUGAAAUUCAUUCCAUGCAAAGCUUCCCAAGUCAAUUGGAAAUAUGUCCAAUUUGGAAGUAUUUGAUGCUGAUGCUUACAGUAUUGAUGGUGAAAUCCCUUUGAAAAUUGGAAACUUAACCAAUCUGUACACGCUAAGUGUGUACCAGAAUGAUUUAAGUGGAAUCAUUCCAACUACAAUUAAAGGUUUACAAUCUCUUCAAUAUUUGCAUCAGUUGAUGAGCAAAAACCAUUUAGCCAUCUUACUAGAUUACUUUCAGCCAUCAGUUUUAUUGAUAUGCUGCUAGAGCUUGCUAGGAGAGAAAAGAGUACUGGAAUAAAACCAGAUGUUGAUCUUGAUAUCUUCAUGAAGUCAAUAGCUUUUGGAGGAUAGGAAAUAGAUCUUGUGGUAGAGUACAUCAUAAAGGUAUUCAUUAAGCAAAUUACGAAAUAGUUUAAUAUUUGUUGAGUUGAUAAAAAUGUAAAAAUAGAGAUUAAUAGGCUCUAGCUACUAGUAUCCUGUUUCAAUACAACUUACAUCAUAUUGACAUUUUUAUAAGUCUUCCAAACUCCUAAGUGUUAAGAUAUUUUUCACAAAGAUAUUAGGUUUGGACAUAUGUGGAGACACAUUGGUAGGCGAUGAAAUGCUCAAGAGCAUCUCAGAGGGACAAAAGAAGCGACUUAUAACAUGUUUAUUAUAACAUUGACAUAUAAUUUGUCUUAUAUUUUAGUAUGUGCUAUGCUAACCAAUUGAUGUGAGAUUUGCACGAGACUUAUUGAUUGAAAAUAUGUUGAUAAUUUUGUUAAUUUAAGUUUUGUUAAUUGUAAUUGUUAUUGCCAAUUAUGGCUUCCUGAUUUCUCUUUUUUAUUCAUUUAUUUAUUUUGUUAAUUGUUAUUGUCA